GCUUUCGUUGUGUAGUGGUCAGCACGCUCGACGUGUAUUCGAGAGGUCCAUGGUUCGAGUCCCGGUGAGGGCA
rnacentral:tRNA from 1 species